rnacentral:lncRNA from 1 species
GCUGGGGAACUGCUGACUUCCCACUUCGUUCACCCCCAAAUCCUUAGGUUUGUGAUUUCUCUUCCCUCCGUCUCAUUCUACUUGGGUCUUUCUGCAUCUGACGAUUUCAAGUCAUGGGUCUUGCGAAGCGAUUCAUUUGCUGCGUUUUCACGUGUCUUUCUUCCAUCUGAUCAAUUGGGUUUUAUUUCUUGUAUGGGAUAUUGUAUAGUUUUAGCGGGGAGAAUGAAGUACUGGGGAUUUGGUUUUAGUGAACUCGUGCAGUAUUUGCUCCAUCUGUCUUCACUCGUUCUUCCACUCUAUCUAUAGUUUCAAUCCACUAUUUUCAAACUGUAAAUCCUCUGGGUCUGCUUCAUAUAUAUCAGGACGAAACCGUUGCUUUACGUGAUUUUGGAAAAAUUAUGUAACUUUUGUCCGACAAUAUAAAGAAAUGAGUACCCUGCUCUUCUGAUAAUCGUAUUUAACUCUGUGGUGGCUGACGUUUAUGAAUCCAUUCACAAAAAAUGGGAGUUUCUUUUUAUGGAUACGUUUUUUGACUAAUUGUUUGUACCAUAUGAGAUUUUCAUCUUGUUGAAAUUAAGGGGCACGUAUUGUUAUUGAUGGUCAAUAAACAACGUCUUGCAUUUACAGCCUUUUCAUUUACCUUUUGAUCAUUUGAACUGAACCCGUAUAUUGAAUUUCAGUGAGGAGUAAGCAUCUUCAACUCUUGAACCUGCAUUUUCCAUUCUUCAAUGCUGUUUUGAGCUUUCUCCACAACUUUCUGCCAAGAUGUAGCAUUCAUUAGUUAUGUUCCCAUUAUUUUCUUGAAAGUCUUAAAAAACCGUUCAUGUUCUUAUAGAUAGACUUGGAGACUUAAUGUAGGAAAAUGUCGAAGAGUAAAAGGAGGAAUCAGAGGCAGAGGAAAAAACGAAAGUUAGAGAAUGGAAGGGGAAAUUCUACUGUGGAUUGGGCAGCGCUCCCGCGGGAUGUUCUUGUUAUGAUCUUUGAGCAGUUGUCCCUUGUGGAUUGCAUAUCAGUCGAUAAUGUCUGUAAGCUUUGGAGCAAUAUCCUUUCUGAACUUCCAAAUUGGAAGAUGGGAGGAUUUCCAUGGCUUAUGAUGUCAGGUAAAAAAGAUAGAGAGAUGAGAACUUGUGCAAGCAUUCUGGAGAAUCGAAUUUGGGAAAUAGAGCUUCAUGAGGCAUAUGGAGCUUAUAUUUGGGGAUCUUUCCAGGACUGGGUAAUAAUGGUGAAGGAUCUUGGUUGUUAUUCUCUUGAAGUUAGUUUGUUGAACCCUUUCUCUGUAAGGAAGAUUAACCUGCCAAGGCUUUGGAACUUCUAUCACAAGAUGGUUCUUUCAGGUUCUCCUGCUGAGGAAAACACAAUUUGUGCAGCCAUUCAUAGUCAGAAUCGUGAAAUUGCCUUUUGGGUUCAAGGGUCAGAAGUAUGGCACAAGUAUAAACUUGAAGGUACACCUUUUGAAGAUGCUGUCUUCUGUAAUGGAAGUCUUUUUCUUCUCUGUAACGACAGUAACAUUUUCCAAAUUGAAGCAACAAGUAUCAUCUCGUAUUUUAGGGAAGAUGAAUGUGUUAUAUCUAUUUCUGAGAUCAAAGUACAGUUCCACGAAGUUCGAAGCCUAAAAAUAAACAGUCAACAUGUGUUGAAGUAUCUCGUCGAGUCUUCAGGGGAUGUUUUGUUGGUCUGUAGGUACUUCAGCGAGAAACCGGAUGCUGUACUUGAAACAAUCAAUUUUGAGAUAUAUUCACUUGAUCUUUCUCAGAUGUCAUGGGAAAAGAUCGUGUGUCUGGAUGAUCGGAUUCUUUUUUUAGGUAAAUGUUGUUCUAGAUCUCUUUCUUCAACUGACCUCGGUAUUUUGAUCAGUAACCGUAUCUAUUUCUCCAACGAUGAUAUGGCUCCUUGGUGGAAUGAAUGGGAUUCUAAUCAUUUGAAAGUAGUAUCUUCACGUUUUGGACUCAACAACUCCUCAGGAAAAGAUUGGGGAACCUUUCACAUAAUCAGAGACAGCAGUGGAAAAUUUUGUUUCCAUGGUAACCGUGACAAUUGGGGCCCCAUCUGGUUCACUGCACCUCUAUGGUGGUAUAGCAAGAACAUUGCUAGAAAAUCAAAUCGAUAUCGAUAAAUAUGGUGAAACUUAUCAUGAUUUGUGGUAGAAAUCCAAAAAUUACUGAUACUGGGUGUGCUUGAGAUGGUUGGUAAUGUAAGAAACUAAAUUUUUCUUUAAUGUCUAGCGUUAACAAAAUGUACACCCCUUACAUGUAAAUUGUUCAAGCUCUAAGAGAAGCAUUUUGAACUGGGUAGGAUUAGUACUUCUCUUUUUGUAUAUGCCCUUAUUUUGUCAUAUACAUAUAUCGUAAUGCUCAGGAUAAUGUUUGCUUACUGUCGAAAUAGCAGAAUCCUUGCUGUCUAAUUGGAAUGUUCCUGGAACGAACUUGUGUUGGAAAAGAGGGUAACAGGUAUGUUUAUUUUUUGAUACAUUGAAAAAAGAAGCCAUGGACUUCACCCUAUGUUUCAAAACUACUCUGUUAAAAGCUGCAGUAAUCCCAUUGAUAUUUUGUAAAGGUUUUAAAACUACCCUUAUAGUAGAAGUCGGUUAGAAUUUUGGAUGAAGAUUGAGACUGAAAAACUAAACUAGUGUGGCAGUGACUCAAACAAUGAUAGUCUCCAUUCUUGAUCAUUGCCACACCUUUCUAGGUCCCAAUUUCUAUCGAAAGUCGAGGGUAUAAUGAAGAAAGACAAGUGUUAGUAGUAUAUGUUUAUAAUUUAUCCUAUAUAUUUGUAGUGCUAAGGUACUGUUCAUCUUAGGCAUAAUCUUGGUAACCAUAUGUUGGUUUGUGCUUUGAUUUUAUAUUAUCACUUUUGGAAACAAACAAUAGAUUUAUGUUUUUUCAAACUCUUGACCCUCGCCUUUCUCUAACUUUUGAUUUCUACAUGACAUAUCUCUUCUUUCUUGCCUAACUCAAUAGAACCAAAGAUGAACAUAGGAUAUGAAUGGUUUUUCUGAAUGGUUGUCCACCAGGUCUUUGCUGAGAUGGAUUAUGUAUUUUAUAUCUUUAAAAAUAUGUUUGAUUCCAAAUUGAACUGAAAUUUGACCAAAAUCAUUAUUCUUUGAGGAACUUGUAAACUUUUGGCUGCUACAUUUUUCAACGCUCAAAUCAUAUCAUCUUUUCUGUUUUCUUCUCAAAAUAAUAACAAUAAUAUUAUCAUUGUUGUUAGUAGUAUUAAAAUAGUAUUCCAACUGCUACAUUUUUCAGUUGGCUUGUGGCUGCUAAAAUUUUGAAUUAAAAAAUUUAAGACUUAAUGUUAAUUAGAAACAUACAUGUGAAGAAGAAUAAUUUCCCAGUUGUUGUCCAUAAUAGUUGUCUGACUGUUCAAAUAUGGAGUAUGUUCUGUAAUUUGCAGCCUCUAGAUGUAACUUCUUUCCAUUACUUUUCUUUCUAAAAUUAAAUGUACACUUGCCACCUUCUAUUUAUUUUUAGGUAAAGUUUCAUCUCUUUUGUCUUUUUGCUUUUUUUGUCACUAGUAGUAAAUGGAAAUGGCUUGAUUCCUUUUUGUGUUGUUGUCCAUUGAAUAACUCAAUUCUAUCCCCUACUUCUUCAACAAGGGUUCUUGCAUAGUUUACUCAGAGUUAUAAAAUUAAAGUUGAGUUGAAUUAUGAAGCAUGAAAUUAAAUGAAUACAUGUUUGAUGUGCAUAUUUUACCUAAAUCAGUACGUGUUUAAGAACUCAACUCGGUUUACUUAUCUUGAAAAUUACUUUUCUAUGGUGUAAAUUAGAUUAUGAGGGAUUCGUUGUUUGAUGGGACUCUCUCUCUUUUUCUUUGUUUCAUUUCAAAUUUUGGGUGACAUUUAUUUAUCUUUCUCUAAGAUUUAAAAUAUGGUUUUGGUUUUACUUCUUCAAACAAAGCAUUUGCUCUAUUGGUCUUAUAGCUAGAUAUGUAUCUUUACUAAAAUAAUAUAUGAAUAUAUUUUAAAAACUACUUUUCUAUUCUGUGAACUCUUUUUAACAGUGACAUCAACCUGGCUUUUAAUUAUUUGGUAGACAGAAAGAUGUAAUAUGUUUUUCCUUUUUAUUGUUUGUGCUUGUGUGUGUCUAGUUCAUUAAUUUUUAAACAAUCAAUUUACGAAUUAAAAUGUUGAAGGUGAAACAAGAUACAAAUAUUGAAGUUCAUGUAAUACUUUUGUAGUUUAAUAUGACACAAUAUCAAAGCAAUGAACUACGUCUCACUCGCAAAUAAUUGAGUCUCAAGUAUCAUCAACUUAUCCACGUCAAAUUCAACCCUUAUGUUUAUAUUAAUUAAAGUGGUAAAUAUUUUAUGAAAUUUGCUAUUUUUUUUUUAUAUAAUUCUUAACAAACAAGUUAAUAUAUUUAUUGUUUAUAUUGUAUUUAGUUUUAAUAUAACUAAAUGAUUGAUCAAAUCCUGAUAUGUGAAAAACAAAAGUUCAAUAAAGAAUAUGUAUGAACAACAUUAAUAAAAGGUGACAUACUUAAUCUUUAUCGUUGCCUAACGCAACUAUCUUACUACUAAAUUACAAAUUUAAUUUUUGAAUUAUGACUAUUUAUCUCCUAAUAAAUUGUUAGCGUCAAAAAAUAAAAAAAUCUUAAUUAAUUAAUUGCUUGGGGUCCACAGUCCACAUUUCAAGUUGCGAUUCCGAGAUGCCCCGUAAGCAAUCAAUCCCUCAAUAUUCUUUUCAUUUUCUCUUUUGUCCCUCUAUUCUUCUCAAUUUCACACUUCUUCCCCUCCCCUAACGAUAACUUCAAAUUACCAACUUACCCCUCCCUAAACCUCCAAUUUUGGAAUUUUGGCAAUUCUCCUCUGGCGGGAGUUCACCCCUCUACUUCUUUUUAUUAAAAUUUUACCACUUUAAUUCUUUUUAUUACUCUCCCCUCCCCUCCCCCCCCCCUAAUUUUAAUUAUAACGAAAAAAAAGAGGAGAUAUUAAUUUUAUUGACCAAAAAAAGAAAAAGAAAAAAAAGAAAAUGUUUCUUAAUUGUAGUCGUUUUUUCGUCGAACCGUUUUGAUCUGUUUGCCAUUCUCUUCAUUUCUCACCUUUUUCUCUAAACCCGCCUCGUCCCCAUUCCCCCAUUCACUCUCUUCUUCCUUUGCAUUCUCUUCUUUAUUCAUCCCUACUCUCUUUCUCCCGAUCGCUUUAAUUCUCCCAUUUCUUCAUCCGCGAUUUCUUUUCCUUACCAGAUCCGACGAUUUUUUUGCUUGUUUCUGCUGUUUUGAUUUCCGGUAAUCUUUAUCGUUUCUCAUUUUUCCUCUACUUCAACUUCCUCUUCGUUGACUUUUUUUUUUGUGUUAUUACGCUUUCUUACUGCAACUUCCAGAGCUGAGUAGUGUUGGUAGACUGUCGAUAUGUUAGGAGCGGGUGUACGGUUUGGUCGUGCCAAGGGAGAGGACCGCUUUUACGAUUCAUCCAGAGCCAGGAAGGGGCUUCUCAGUCGUCAGAAUGAUAGGCUAUCUACAUCUCAACAAGAUGCUUCUGCUACUACUCCAUCCUAUGCGGAUAAGGAAGUUGUUUCCACACGCCCCCUUGACCGUUUGGUCUCUGAUGAAGCUACUAAACCAGUUCCUGUUUCAAUUUUAAGUAAUCUGGAGCGGUUCUUGCAGUCGGUUACUCCCUUUGUGCCUGCUCAGUUUCUCUCUAAGGUUUUUUUUUUUUUUUUUUUAGUUGGGUUUUCACUUUUUGAUUGAUCUUGAGGAAGCUUGUGUGUUGUUUUGUUGUAGAGUGCGUUGAGAGGUUGGAGGACGUGUGAUUUGGAGACAAAGCCUUACUUUUUGCUUGGGGAUUUGUGGGAGGCUUUCAAAGAGUGGAGUGCUUAUGGUGCAGGAGUGCCUCUUUUAUUGAAUAACAGUGAUGGUGUGGUUCAGUAUUAUGUCCCGUACUUGUCUGGCAUACAAUUGUAUGGCAUGGAAUCGUCUACAAAGACAAGGUAUUUGAUAUCAAUAUGCUGGAAUUGAUAUUGUCUUCUACCUCUUUUAAUAUAUUUAUAUUUAUAUAAGCAUGAUAUGCCAUUCUGUUUCGCCCAUUCACUGGUGCAUCUUUGGCACGGAGCUUUAUAGCUUCAGUUUGUUUUCGUUUUUUUUUUUUUUUUUUAUUUGAUUCUGUUUUUUCAUAACUUUAUGAAGGGCAUUUUUAUUUUCAGCUCAAGUGAUUUGAUGUUUUACUUCUUUUUUGUCCCUAUAUUUCGUUCCUUUAUCUUAUGGACCAUUAUGCUUAUGGUUCUCACAGAAUGUUUUUCUUCUACCGAGGAGUUAUUUUAGCUUUACCCAGAUGGUCCUCGUAUCUAGACAAAUGUUCCUUCCUUCUCCUUUUCACAACUUUUUUAAGUUCUAAACAAAUUUUGAUUACGUAGUUAAUAUGUCCUCUUGAUUAAUGGUAGGAUCGAGAGCGUUUUAGAGACUGAAAUUUUGAACGUUAUCUUGUGUUUACUAAUAUGGUGUGAGAGGAAAAUAGAGGUCAAGGAAAACACACUCGUUUCAAUAUCUUUUUGCUGGGGUCAUUUCACCUUUUUGGUUCAUUAUGUUUUGAUUGUUGCUCAACAUCAUUAAGAGAAUUUAUGUGCUUUUUUGGGGAAUUAUAUUGUUCCAUUCUUUUAUGAAUUUGAUUGUUGUUUUGUUUUCAUACAUCCUCUUUUUGUGUUAUUGAUGUAUAUACUUUGGUUGUUUGAAAGGCGAUGGGGUGAGGAAAGCGACAGUGACUAUAGAGAUUCAAGUAGUGAUGGUAGUAGUGAUUCUGAAACAAUUAGAAGAAUAAAACACAGUAGAGAACCACCCCACCAUAAUGAUCCGUCUAUAACAGAUCCUCUUAGAAUGGAUAGAUUGUCUUUGAGGGACCAGCAUUUGGGACUUCAUGAGGACUGCUCCAGUGACGAGGCUGAAUCUUUCAAUUCUCAAGGCCGCCUUCUAUUUGAGUAUCUCGAAAGAGACCUACCGUAUUUACGUGAACCUUUGGCUGACAAGGCAAGUGGUUUUUCUGUGUUUUGAGACCAUAUUAUUUAGGCUUUCAGCCUCACACUUUUCUCUGUUGUUUUUGACACAGAUAUCGGAUCUUGCUUCUCGCUUCCCACAGUUGAAAACAAUGAGAAGCUGUGACCUCCUACCGUACAGUUGGAUAUCUGUGGCAUGGUAUUAGCAUCUUCACAUUUUAUAUGAAAGCUCUUUAAUAUCCAUUGGCUAAUUGGCUUCCAACCCAAACGUUUUAGGUACCCAAUUUACAGGAUACCAACUGGGCAAACAUUAAAGGAUCUUGAUGCUUGUUUUCUCACAUACCAUUCUUUACACACACCAAUGAGAGGUAAUUGAAUUUCUUGCCAGUUUGACAUUUGCAAGUCCAUUCUUUGUGCAUGCCUUUUGUCUUUCAAUUCAAGUUCAUUUUCUUAUUCUAUUCUGUCCUUGAGAGCUUCCUUUAUUAUUAUUAUUUUUUUAAAAUAUUGUAUUGUGUGAAAUUCAUGGUACCAUGAUAUAUUUGAGUCAUUUUCUUUAUAUUUUUCAGAUUCUCAAAGCCCACCAACACCCUUUGUGGCAUAUCCUUGUAAGACGAAUGGUGCCGAAAAGGUUCCUUUAAGAAUUUUUGGACUUGCUUCAUACAAGUUUAACGGGUCGUCAUUGUGGAUGCGAAAUGGUGGAGUUGAGCAUCAAUUGGCAAACGCCCUCUCGCGAGCAGCUGAAAAUUGGCUAAGAGAUCUUCAUGUCAAUCACCCUGAUUUCCUGUUCUUCAGCCGCCGAGAUGCAACACCUUACUGAUACAACCAACUAGAAAACAAAAGUUUGCAUGUAGUGGCCCUGCAAAAGAAUCCCGAAACGUGGUGAAUGUGCUGUAUGCUCACUGAAGGUGGGGUGGUUCACUCGUUAGCUUUCAUUAAGGUGAAGGACUGGAGAAAGUUUAUGGAAUGGGAUAGGUCACAAAAUUUUGAGGCUUUAGACGCGGGGGGGUGCACAUGCCUGAUGUAGUAACAAAGCCUGAUAAAAAGUGAACGCUAAAAAUGUUAGAAAACAUUGCUCUAAGGCAUGCUGGUUUAGCGAGGUAGAUGUUGGUUCGACAUGUAUUAAUAAGCAGGUUUUCUUGUUUGCUUUCACUUUUUUCUUUAUCCAUCCCCAGAAGUGCCAUCAUUUGAGAAAGGAGGCCUUCUUUGAUCUCUCUGACUGACGGUCCUGAUUUUGUUAGAUUGUAACGUUGUUCAAGUGGAUUUUAAUAGGUUUUAUUCAGGAUCUCGGUGCGUCAGGCAAUGAAACUGUACUGCAGGAGUAUCCUUGACCAUGAACUGAAUUAGAAAAUGUUCAUGGAAAGCUUACAAUACGCCCUGGACUUGGGCUUCUAUCCGUACUUGGUUUGGUUUUCUUCUUCUAUAUUCAGAUGUAUUUGAAGAUAUAUGUCUUUUCCUUUGCUUUUCUACUGCAAGUUUUUGUCAAUGUCAGGUAUUGUGACCCUGAUCGAUGCUUGAUCGCCUCAUAUCUAUUAUGAUCUAUAGAAAUGGUAAGUCUUUGGUACCGGACUUACUUUCUGUUUUAUACAACCAAGGUCAGAAGACUUGUUGCAAAAUUUCUGAUUCUACCGAUCUAGGCAAGUUUUUUUAUUAACUGUUACUACGUCUAUGAAUUAUGAUGUUAAAGGUUGAUUGAGUGAAUAAAUAUUGCAGUAUCAUUGGACAGUGUUGGUGUCAUAUUACUAUUUAGUCCUUAUUAAGUCAAAAGUUUAUAAUUCCUAUGAAUGUUACAAUUGGAUUACUAUAAGCUUACAUGAUGUGAUAUCUAGUGAGAGUUGGUGAGAAAUUCGAGUUGAAAUUAGGGCCUUUAAAAACCACAAUCGCUUAUAAUUCCUCCAAAGUGCUUUCAAUUCUGAUUUCCCUUUUUCUUUUACCAACUCUCUAAGUAAGAUACUAUCACGAGUACGUCGUCUAAAUUUUAACAAUAUUUAACAGAUUUAUCGAUUAAUUAACAUAGAAGACGAACUUGAAAAUUCUUGAAAUAUCAGCAGUUCUUGAUUACUUAUUAUACUUAUUAAGGAGACCAUCUUAAAUGAAGAAACUAAGAUGUUUAGGAAAUAUGUUAUUUAAUUGGUAAUCUAAGUAGCAACUUGGCUUAUAGGAGGUAGGUCUAGAAAUGGAGAUUUGACAUAAAUUCAGUUGUCCAUAUUAGUCUCUCUUGGUUGGCUACUUGUUAGGGCGCUAACCUCAAUUGAGCCAUUAUUAAAUGAUAUGUUAAAAUAGUCACGUACCAUUUUUAAAUGUUCAUAGUUUUGUUGCACAUAGAAAUUAGGAAACACCGCAGUCUAUUAAAACUUAAAUAGUAGACAAAAUUGAAAAAAACAUCAACUUGUUUCAAUAUGUGACAUUGGUUAUUUGGUUUUAAGUUUCAACUCUAGAUUUUCAAUCCUAACUGCACAAGCUUUAAUAUGAUUUUAAUUUUAACCCCUUCACUUUUAAGAUAAUAUAAAAGGAUGAUUAAAUUAGACUAAUUUUAUCUAAUACAACAACUUUUUCUUUAACUCUCUUUUACAAUCAUACAGUUAAAACUUUCUAACUUCAAUGUAUUAAUAAUUACAUAACUUAAAGUCACUACUCAAUUUCCUGCUUUUAACACAUCCAAUGUAUCAUGAUUCAUUAGGACUAUAAAUAAAACUUUGGUUAUUUGCCCUCAAAUCAUUUCUUAUUUUGGUUAUUCAUAAACUAAGCAUGGACAAGAACCUCCUAUAGCCGGUGACACAACCCCAAAAGUCCACAUACCGAUCCCACUUCUUACUAUAACACAAAAAACAAAGCAAAUUACAAAAUCAUGUGAUAAACUAAUCACCAUAACAAAGUAAAGAUACCCACUCAAAUCUCCCCACGUAUGCAAAUUCAUCUCCAAAUCAAAGCCUAUUGGUAAAGAUAGUAAUGAACACAGUAAAGAAAGAAGCAGAGAAUCACAAUUCAGUAGUCAGAGUGGCCACUGCCGCAGGCAGCCAUCCCAAGAAAAGCAAAAGCCUCACCUCCGCCACAUUCUUCAAUACCAAAAUCACCAAAUUUCAACAACAAAUCAAAUUAAAUUUCAAAUUUUGAAGCCGCCCCCUCCCAAUUCCUUUUCUUCUUCUUCUUUCUUAAAAAAUGGCAGUCUCAGCUAUUGUUUUGGCCACCAUCACUUCUCUUCAUCUCAUAGCCUUUGUCCUUGCCGUUGGCGCCGAGCGUCGUCGCAGCACCGUAAGUUUCUCAGCUCACUGAUUCACUGACCUUUUUUCAUUAAUCUCUGUGAAUGGAAAGGCUUUUAUAUUUCUUUGUACUCUGUUUUUUUUUUUCUUUUUUUCUUUUUGUGAAGGCUAAUAUUGUGCCAGAUGAGUACGACGAAAAGACUUACUGUGUGUACGGCACCGACGCAUCUACGGUGUACGGACUGUCGGCAUUCGGUUUGCUUCUCAUAAGCCAAGCGGUGGUUAACGGCGUUACUAGAUGUUUCUGCUGUGGGAAAGGUUUAAUUAGUGGAAAAACCACCACUGUUGCCAUUUUCUUCUUUGUCUUUUCUUGGUAUGUAGAUCCUUUCAUUUUUAAAUUUGUUAAUUUAAAACAUACGGGUUUUGAAAACGACACAAAACCCUUCAACCCCAUCAAACAAAAACCCAACCUUGAUGGCAAUAUUCGUUUAAUUUAUAUUACUUUGUUUUUAUAGGAUUAGCUUCAUCGGAGCAGAGAUCGGACUAUUGGCCGGAUCGGCUAGGAAUGCUUACCACACAAAGUACAGGGCGACGUUUGGGGUGGAAAAACUAUCGUGUGCGACUCUCCGGAAAGGGGUGUUUGCCGGCGCAGCCGCGAUGACGGUGCUAUCGAUGGUGGGUUCGAUUUUGUACUACUGGAUGCAUUCGAAAGCCGAUACAGGGGGAUGGGAGAAGCACCAGAAUAACGAAGGUGUGGGCAUGGGGACGGCGGGUGUUCAUCUUCACAUGAAGCAACAGAAUGCUCAAUAGAUUAAUUUGGUUUUUGGAAUUGGUUUAGUGAUUUUGCGAUGAGAAUUAAUGGUUGUUAUUAAAAUGGGGAAGUGUUUGUUUGUAAGGAAGAAGAAAGGGGAAAGUGUUUGAAAAGCACUCGUAUCAAUCAUCAAAUUAAGCUUUGCUUAGCUUUUGUUUCUUUAUUCGAGUGUGUGUCUCGUAUUUUAAGGAAAUUUUUCUCCUUUUAGGACGCGUCGUCUUGAAGUUCCAACUUUGAAUUUUGCUAUUGGAGAUUUUUUUCUAGGGUUUCUCAAAGUGAACUUAGGACUCAAAGAACAUGCUUGCCUUUGCUUUUUGUUACAUUUAAGCCAUGGAUUUGCUAAUCUAAACAUUAAUAGGUUUCAUUUAUUUGUUUACUUUGAUUGUUGUUUAUGAGUCUCAUGUAAUCAACAAUAAAUUAGCAAUAUGUGUAGUUAAUUAUCUAAAUUUUUUUUAAUGAGGUAAUUUUUUGGGUUAUGAAGGUUGAAAUAUUGAUUAUUAUUAUUUUGGGAUGAGAUUGAAAAUUGAAUGUUGAGAAUGGAAAAGAAAUAAAUUAGAAAAUGGGAAUGUGAUCAUAUUAACAAAAAAUCUUAAUACAGAAAUUAAUUAAAAGAGAGCAUGCCACACACAACUAAUUUCAAUCCACUCUUCAAAUGAGUGUUUAAAUAAGUUCACAAUUUUACAUCUAAUUCUCUCUCAAAUCAAACCAUAAACUAAUUAAAAACUAAUCCUGUCAUAACAUGUCGAAUCCCCAUGGCCGUCGCAGAUUUGUAUAUUCCAUUUUAGGCAAUGGCAAAGGUUCGUCGUACUGAUCCAUAUAUAUAAUCUUUAAACUUCAUGGACAAAAAACUCAGUGUCAUUCCUUGCUAAAAUGGGGUGUUUCGGAAUUUGAAUUUGCAGUGGCGGAGCUGAUGCUGUGGAAGAACAAGAGACAAUCGGGGGCCAUGGUGGCCGGAAUGAGCUGUGUUUGGUUGAUGGUGGAGGUUUUAGAUUACCAUUUGAUUACUCUUAUUUCCCAUCUUCUCAUCAUCCUCAUGCUUCUUCUCUUCUUAUGGAAGAAAUUAGCAUUUUUCACAGUCCCAUGGUAACACACUAACACUAAUUAUAAUUUAAUGUGAAUUUAAAAGCACUUAAUUGUAUUGGUAACAUAGUAAUGUUUUUUAUAUUUUAUCAUUAUUUUGAAUGGUAUAGGAGUCCACCCAAUGCCCAAGAUUUAGAAAUCUCAGACUCCACUUUCACUCAUCUCUUUCAAACAUUCAAUUGGUUCCUCCACAGCUUCUUUCAAAUUUCCAAUGGCAAUGACUUUAAGCUCUUUGCAAUGGUACCCUCAAUAAUCUAUGUUUAUUAUUUCUCAUCUUCUCCUUUAAUUCCCUUUAAAACUACACAUUAAACUAUCAUCUCAAUAUCUAUAAUAAUUAUACCAUUUACAACUUCUAACCCUAAAAAACAAACCCUAAACUUAUACGUUUUUAUUGAAUCGUAUGAGUUUAAGGAUUACAUUUUUAUCACUGGAGGACUCAAUUUUUGGAAUGAAAAGUUCAAAAAAUAUAAUUGCAGUAUAUAAUUUUCCUUUUCUUUUUGUAGGUAAUGGGUGGCCUUUGGUUAUUAUCCGUUGUUGGAGAGUCAGUGAACUUAUUCAAUCUCGUGUAUAUUGGUAUAUUCUCUUUUUCUAUUUGACUAGAAUCUUGUCCUAAAAUGUGAUUAACAGUUUUAAAACACGAUUUCUCUACCAAAGCUAACUUGUCUUUUUUUUCCUAUUGAUAUGAUUGAACAAAAUGAAAUGAUAUGGAUGAUAAGUAUUUGUGACCUUACAAAUAGUUCCUGUUGUAUACGACAAGUAUGAGGAGGGAUUCAAUAAGGUUGCCUCUCACAUCAAAGCUAAUAUGGACUACUAUUUCCACUUGAUUGAUUCCAAAUUUCUCACCAAAAUUCCAAGGUGGCAUAAUAUCAAACAAUCUUAAAAUCAUUCUUAAUCUUAACCUUAUAAUAAUUACAUAUAUAAUCCAUAUUAUAUGUGUAGAUUUUCUUUUUGCAAACCUUUCAUUCCUAAGUGUUGAUUCAUUUUUUCCCUUUUCUAUAUAUAAAUUAAAUGAGGCACUUUGAUGAUUCAAUAGUCUCUCUUGUAUUAUAUUUCUCUUGUUUUGAGAAAAGAAUUCAUCUCGUUCAUGAUUAUUUUCACUCUAUACAUAAAUUAAAAUCAACUCACAAAAUAAGAUAAUAAAAUUACUCUUCUCUUCUCUGAAAUUAGAAAUUAUUUUCCAAUCGAAAAUAAGUUGAAAAAACUAGAGAAAGAUGACAGAAGAUGAAUAACCUUUCACAGUAACUUUUUCAUAUAACAAUUGUUGUCUUAUUUAAUUCCAAAAUUAAUUAACGUCUCUAAUGUUUAUGUUAAUUUGUAUUCUUAAAGAACUUGGGAAGAGAUGUGGUUUAAAUUACAUAAAUUUUAUUGUUGUAUUUAACAAAGUUUUAAAUCGAUUCACAAAAAUUGAAAGAUGUUAUAUCGAAUUGGGGUUUGGAGUUUUAUUUAAAAGAAACACACCCCCUAUGUAGGGUUAUAAAAACACUUAUAUCCAAUGGGCAAUAGGUUUUUCUUUUACUAUUCAUUUAGAAUUAGACAUAGGAUUAAAUUCUCAAGAUAAGUAUAAGAAUUCCAAAUAAUUGUUCCUUAGUUUUGAGAUUAAAUUUGAUAAAAUUACAAUAUUUUUUUAGUGAAAAUGUAUACAUAAUCUCGUGUUUUCUAGUUCACUUAGAUUUUUAUUUUUGGUAUCAUAAUUGAAGAGGGGGAAAAUAUUUGAAUUUUGAAAAGAAUAAUUGAAUUGAAAGAGAACCACAUUUGUAUAAAGGUAGAAAAGAGUCAAAGGGAAAAAAAUGGGAAUAUCUUUGAAACAUAUCCACAUCUUAGCUUUUUAUAGAUAGGAUUAUUAUUCUGUAAUUAGGUUGAGAAUAAUUAAUAGAAUACACACUUACCCCCAUGCACCACCAAUUCACCCAAUUACCCUUUUCUCUUUUACUUUCUUUUCAAUUCUUCAAUUAUUUACAUUCCAAAUAUGGUCAAACAUCCAUAUAUUGACCAAUCAUCCCUAACUUUUGAACGUUUAUUUAUAUUUUAUGGAUGAAUUUCAACAAACAUUAUUAUAUAUACUUGACCUUUUGCAUCACAACUUGACCUAGUAAUUAGCAGUGAAAAUUUUAUCAUAAACACAUAAUUAAUUAUUUACCAUAUUAAUUAUGUAGUUAGAAGAAAAAAUGAAUUAAUGAACACCUAAUAAUGUGGAAGCUGACUUUGAUUUCUCGCCCGCAUCUUCCGUAAUGGAAAAAUUGUGUCCUCAUUAGUCAUUAUUCUCCUUUUUUUCUUUUACUAAUCCUUUUUUUAAAAAAAUUAGUUUUUCUAAACUUAACUAAAACUUCAAUAACCCAAAAUAUAUUUAAAUUACGAGCCAUUUAAUCCAUGACCUAAAAGUCAAAAAGUCAACAAAUGUUGGGCUCUUUAUUCAAUUGUUUUUGCUAUGAGAUUCCUUUUAUAUUUAGUCCAGGUGGUAUUAUAUUAUUGGUGGAGGGUUUGGAUAUUACAUAUAUAUAUAUAGACCUCUUGACUUGGCCCUUCUUCCUUAUUCUUCACUUCUAAUAAUCCAAUCUCAUCAACCUACACAUUUACUCUUAGAUGGUGAGGGUAUUGAGAGAUUUCCACGGCGGAGGAUUGACGAUCGCUUCCCCAGUUUUGAUAUUUUGGGCGGUGGUGCUUUCGAUUUCGAUCAUCACAACAGUUAUAUUCUCCUGCACCGGCGGCAGCGGCGCUAAAGAUAAGGACACGUCCCAUGCCGAUACUUACGGUGGUGCUGCUUGUGCUGCCGGCUGUGGAGGCGGCUGCGGCGCUUAAUCUCAUCCAACAACGGAAAUUUUCACCACCAGAUCGAUGUAAUUUGAUUUCCUUUUUCUCACUUUUCAAUUCUUCUCCUUUUAGGAGGGUGAUGAUUAUAUUAUAGGGAUUUUCAGUUUGGUUGGUUUAAAAUAUGUGAAACAAAUUGACAUAUUUGAUAAAGAAAAUGUAAAGAUUUGAAAUAUUUGAAUGAAAGGGUUCGUUAAACACGUUGUGUUUAUCCAAAUAUAGCGUUGGUUCUUCUUUUACAUUCCCCACUUUUUAUUCCUCUGCCGACAUUAUUAUUAUUGUUUCCAUUUUUCUUUUUCAAAUCUUUUAUUUGGUUUCUAAAUUUUGUACUAAUAUAAUUAUAUAUGUUUACUAUCGAAUUCGAACUUUUAAUUUCAUCUCA